CUCCCCAUGCUUCCAAUCCAUGGGACUCACUGGUAUGUUCUCGAUUCCUGUGCCGUUGCUUAUCCCAGGAUAUCAUUUGAGUGGAAUCAGCAGAAUAUGUAGAGAAUAAAAGUUUCAACUGGGGCCAAGAAAGGAGUAAUUUCUUGAUGGUGGCAAGACUGGACAAGAUAUGCAGAUAGCCAGAAUACAGAUAAAGUAAUUGAAGGUUCCCGAAAUCCUGCUCCUAGCUCCGCUAUGGGAAGUGGGGCUAAUCUUCAUGUGUCCACCAAGCUGCCUUGAAUCAGGAUCACAGUUGCGUCAGGAACAUCAGUCCUUGCCUUUCUACACCCUGCCAUGAAAAGUGUCUCUUAUUUGGGCCUCAUGAUGUUACUUCAGUACACUAUUAGCACUGUGACAAGAAGAGCUUGUUCUUUCUGAAGAAGUAUCACUUACAAUUUUGAGAUGAUUUGCCAGUUAAAGUCACAAUUACUAUUCUCUAAACUGACAGAGAAGUGAUCUGCUGAAUGUUAACUGAUAAGAACCUAUCUUCUAACAUACAUGAAUCAUAAAAAGCAAGAAAAAAAAAUCAAUUUCUGAACUUCCCUUUACCGGUUUUCCUUGAUCUAUAUAUACAGACCAAAAUAAUAUUCAGAAAUUCUGGAAGGUC